rnacentral:lncRNA from 1 species
UAUUUUGUUCCAAGACGCAGCAGAAAUGGGUUGUUGGUUGUGACGUUUCUCACGAUGAAAAUUAAAAGACUUGGAAUUGCCUGUACAUUUCCGAAAUGGCGUGCCUCGUGUGUCUCGCUGCCUGUUAGGCGUACGUCUCAUCCCAUGCAAAUCAACAGCAAAAAGUAUAACAAACACUUCUUUAACGCUGGUGGUGGUUACCUUGUUGCAGCCAAAUAGUGAAAGGUGUGACGAAGACAGAUUGAACCAUUGUAUGGAGCAUGUGGUUGCAGUGUAAUCCCGAAGUUGCUGUGCUGUUGUAGUUGAGCUGUUCCAUCUGGGUUCCCGACUUAAAAAUUGUUGUGUUGUCGUUUAUGCCAUAUGAAUUGCUUUUUGUGUUGCUGAGUUAAAAGUUUGAUCUGUUGUCUUUUGAGUUUUCAUUCAAUCAUGCAGUAUACAAUUGAGGCAACCUGAUCAAUAUCAGGUUUGACACAGUCGAGAACUGCUAGAUAAAACAAGCUUUCUGCGCCAAACAAAUAAUAACUUGACUAUAACUUGCAUCAUGUUAUUAUCGCGGUAGAGAAAGCGACAGGCCCCCCCCCCCUGGGGGCCACAUGAAAAAUAUAUGUAAAUAUUAUAAAAUUUUGUAUG